AGUAUGAUAAGCUAAUUCACUAAGCUAUUGGGCUCAUACCCCGAAAAUGAGUAAAACUCUCCUACUA
rnacentral:tRNA from 1 species